CAUCUCCCGGAGCGGGCUGGCAGCAGGUGGGCAGUGAGUCCGGGAGGACACGAGCCACAGUGGCCCGGAGUGCCCCCUCCACAGGCUGGCUGAGUGGGAGCUGGCUGCUGCCGGCGUGCUCACAGCGGCCGUGCAGAGCGUUCUCGGGGACGGCCGUGUGUGGGACCACUCAACCAGGGCUGCAUUUCUUGAUUUCCCUUGUAGGUGAUUUUUUCUUUGUUUUGCUUCUUGAGAAAGAUCCAGAGUGUGCAGCUCAUCUCGACUGGAGCUUUCACUCGGCACAGCAGGGGAGGCUGUGGGCUUCCCUCCAGCACCGACAGAACGCUGGGUGCGAAGCCGCUCGGAUGAGGGAUGGUACAACAUCUCCAGCUGUACUGAUGUUCGAGAAUUCUCCCAGGAAUUCUUUUCGCGAUACAUGUCCAGGCACUGGUCUCCAGGGCUUUGUGGGGCCAUUUGUUCCCUGGUCUUCUGGAAGUCUGAGGGUUGUGCAAUUGGCCCAUGCUCCUGUUGGCUUGUUCUUCCAUCAGUGGCUUCACCCCUCUCUGUUACUAGGAUCUGCAUGGAGCCCCUAAGACACGAGCCAUGGUCCCCCCAGCCUCCCCCCUCAGUCUUCGAGGACCGGCACUCCCCCAUCCAUCCUGUUCUGGAGUGGCUGAACGACUACUUGCUUCGACCACCUGGGCAGCCUGUGAUGUUCUGGGACCUCCGUGCCCAUUCGAGUGAAGUUGUAGGACCCCCUGGGGCCUCUUCUGCACCUUAAAUCUCAAGCACAUCCAACCUCCUGUUGGGAGAGAAAAAAAGAAUGAGGGAAAGUAAGGAGGGGAGAAGUCUGUCGAAGUUUGCCCUCCGCCUCCCAUCCAUCGGCCGCGUCAGACAGCUGACAACCUGGCUGCUCCCAAGCUUCAGAGCCAUCUCUCUGCUGUGAAAGGCUGGUCGCAGACCUGGUCUGGAGUUUUCACCCUUCAAGCCAUUAUCUGCUGUGUCAGCAGAGCCGUCGGUUGCAUUCAUAUUCACCACUUUGUUCCCAAGUCUAAUCUGGAAGAUACAAAACACAGAAGUGCCAGGAAUCCGCAAUUAGGCUCGCUGUGCAGCCAUCCUCCCGUGACACAGCUGUUGAUGGAAGCGAAGACCAUCCACGCGGAAACACCAUUGUCCAUUGUCAGUGCCCGUCAGUGCCUCUUUGCGUACUUGUCCCUCUGUGACCACACAGCUGGCCUCUUCCCACCCCUCUAAUGCCCACAGUGAAUCCAGAUCCAAACAAGCAACUUCCUCAGAACAACAGUGAGCCAACCCAACAUGAUGAGCAGGUAACCGGUACCCACGGAGCAUCUCGUCAGGAGGAGGAAAGAGGGCUCGUCUUGUGCACCACACAGCAAAGGCCGUGCUCUCCCCCACCCUCCCUGCCCUCUCUCGGCUCCUCACCGCACUCCUCUUCACCCUCGCAGAUUCUAGGAUCGCCUCUACCGUCCAGAGCUGUUUAGUCCCACGAUGACACAGGCAUGUGCUUAACUUGCCGUCUAAGAUCACGGGCAGCCCGGCCAUCUACCUGGUCCCUGGAGAUGCUCCUGUCUCCCAGGCAGCUCUCUGAUGUAUCCACAUGACGAUAGGAAGAGGGACAGGAAGGUGGGGGGGUGUACCGUGAGCAGCCGUCAGACCUGAUCUGCUCCACGACACAUGCAUGGGCACUGCCCCCCGCCUUCAGUCCCCGUAUUGUCCUGCAGGCCCCACUUGCUGCAUCUUUCCCACACACAAGAAAAUAGGCCAAAAAGGGUUUUGGAUAGUUAUCUUAUUUUAUUCCCUUUUUGUUUGUGUCUCUCUGCUGCCCUUGCCCCUCAGCUGUCCCCUAUCUCAAUCUGACGCACACAGUUUCCGUCUGUCCUCAUUUCUUCUCUUCCUUCGGAAAACAUCCAAGAUAAGGUCCCCUGUGACUUGUCUGGCAAUUUUGUCCUCGGCCAACCCAGCUUCAGCCCACGGGCUGCAGAGUCUUUUCUCCCCGGCAAACGAGAGCUCCUAAGAUCUCACCGCAGCACCUGGGAGGUGCUGCGUCACUACACGUUGGGACAAAGCAGAUGCCGAAAUAAAGGGAGUCCCGGGCUCCGUGCAGCAGGGUCAUCCACAGACCUGCCGCCUCCAGCUGCUAGCCCACAGGACAGGUCACAAGGAGGACGGGCCGCGCCGUCAUCGCCGGUCCCGAGCCACGAGAGGGGAGACGGGCAGGAGACGCUUCAUCGCCCCCGAGCCCUGCCCAGGGUGGGCCACGGAUGGAGGCCUCCCUCCAGGAGCUGAAGUUCCUUUAAAAACGACAAGCAUUGCUGCCCC
ensembl:lncRNA